CGAUGCAAUUGCCGUAUCCCAUACCGAAUUCUAGCGCGAAUCCUCAAAACACUUAAUGUUAACAAUUUAAUAUCCCAUUCAGUCAGCUGUGACUCAACUCGACUUCUAUAAGUUGCUUAGGCAUCAUCGACAUGAUUCGAG